AGUGAACGCUGGCGGUAGGCCUAACACAUGCAAGUCGAACGAACGCACAGUAAGAAGUUGCUCUUACGGGUGGCGCGCGGCGGAAGGGUGAGUAAUGCAUCGGAAUCUACUUUUUCAUGGGGGCUAACGUCGGGUAACUUACGCUAAUACAGCAUACGACCUACUGGUAAAAGCACGGGAUCUUCUAACCUUGCGCGAUUGAAUGAGCCGAUGUCGGAUUAGCUAGUUGGCGGGGUAAAGGCGCACGAAGGCGACGAUCCGUAGCUGGUCUGAGAGGAAGAUCCGGUAGACUGGAAGUGAGGCAGGGCCGAGACUCCUGCGCUAGGCCGCGGUCGGGAAUACUGGGGGAUGGGGGCAAGGCUGAUCCAGCGAUAUGGGGUGAGUGAAGAAGGCGCUCGGGCUGGAAAGUCAUGUUGUUGGGAGAGAAAUGCAACUCUUUCAUACCCCGCGGUUCUGACGGUACCCGAAGAAUAAGCACCGGCUAACUUCGUG
rnacentral:rRNA from 1 species